UCGCUCAACAAACCGGGCAACUAUAUUUUCACCUAAGACAGAGAGAGACAAAAAUUAGCAAUAAACAAAUCGGCAAAUUUACCUUCGUGUUUGUUUUUUGUUUUUUU
rnacentral:ribozyme from 1 species